CGUGUAGGCGGUUUGUUAAGUCUGAUGUGAAAGCCCCGGGCUCAACCUGGGAAGUGCAUUGGAUACUGGCAAACUUGAGUAUGGGAGAGGAAAGUGGAAUUCCGAGUGUAGGGGUGAAAUCCGUAGAUAUUCGGAGGAACACCAGUGGCGAAGGCGGCUUUCUGGACCAAUACUGACGCUGAGACGCGAAAGCGUGGGGAGCAAACAGGAUUAGAUACCCUGGUAGUCC
rnacentral:rRNA from 1 species